GAGGGUAUAGCUCAAGUGGUAGAGCACGUGCCUAGCAUGCACAAGGUCCUGGGUUCAAUGCCCAGUACCUCCU
rnacentral:tRNA from 1 species